UGUAGUGAUGGAUUCUCCCGAAGUGUGUUAUCCCAUAGAUUUGUCCAUUCAUGGUCGAUUAGAAGCGAAAGUUGCAGUUACCAGCAAGCAAGCGAAUAUAAAUACGGAAAAAAUUAAAAAGCAGAAGCAGUACAAGGAGUGCAACAUUAUCAGUGCUAUUGCCAAUGUUAAAAAUGGUUCCAUGUCUGUUCACUAUGCUUCUGUGUAUUACGGAGUUCCACGCACCACACUGCAGUAUCGAAUGGGUUUGAAAUGUAAACAAAAGGUUACAGUAGGCCCCUACACUGUUUGUCACAAAAUGAAGAGCAGGAAAUUGUGUCAUGGUUGCGAACCAUGGAGAGAAAGGGAUUUCCGGUAACUCGUGCCGCCUUGAUAUUCAAAGUUUCUUCCUAUCUUAAAGCUCAUCCAAGAACAACACCUUUUUAAAAUAAUUUUCCAGGAAUGGGUUGGUUUCGAGGAUUCAUGAAACGACAUCCAGAUUUAGCUUUACGAACACCUGAACCGGUGACUCUGGCAAGCGCUAAAGUCUCCGAGAAAAAUCUUCAGAUCUGGUUGCAAACCGUUCGAUACUACUUCCUGGAAAAUGGAUUGAUUAGGAUACUAGAAGAUUCAACGAGAAUAUACAAUGGAGACGAAUCUGGGUUUUGUUUGAACCCUUUAUCUAAGCGUGUGCUCGCUACACGAGGUACUCAAAACGUAUCUAUCGUGGAAACAGGAGGUAGUAAGCAAAACAUAACAGUUAGGUAUGUUCUCUUUUUGUGCUGAAGGCUCUGUAGUACCUCCAGAUGUCAUUUUAUCUCAAAAAAGAUUAAGUAAGGAACUUAUCCAAUCCUUUCCGGCAAAUUGGGGUCUAGGCCAUUCCGAAAAUGGAUGGAUGGACUCGAAGAACAUUGUUUUAUACAUAAGAAAUUUUUUUUACCCAUUCUUGAUUAAAAAAGGGGUAACAUUUCCGGUGAUCUAUUUUGUAGACGGUCAUAAAUCACACACUGCAAUACAAGCAGCUGAUGUUUGCCAACGGCUUGAAAUUAUUUUAAUUACUCUAUGUCCAAAUGCUGCGAGGAUUAUCCAGCCGGAAGAUGUCGGCGUUUUCGAGCCACUUAAGACCAAAUGGAACCAAAUCGUGGAUCGGUGGAAACUAGAAAAUAAUUUCGCAGCAGUGACAUUGGUGCAGUUCGGCUCCUUGUUACAAAAAGCUAUAGACGAAGCUUUCAACCCAAGCAUCAUCUUAUCUGCGUUUGCUGCAUGUGGGUUAUUUCCGUAUAAUGCGAAUGCUGUAAACUACACUAAAUGUAUAGUUCAGAAUGAGGAGCUGCGUAGCUGCGAAUCGAAUAUGGAAAGUGGUAAAAAAUGUUUCUGGGUCCCGUACGAAACGAUCGAACAUUCUAUCAAUAUGAUAGCACCGUCGAAGGUACAGAUGCUAAUGACUGAGAACGACGAAUGUCUCUCACAGGAUGAUAGAUGCCUUAUGAAAACAUUUUAACAAACAGUUACGAUGCGAUCGCAUUAGACACUACUGAUAAAAUGAAUCCUCAAGAAUAUGUGCUUUUGAACGAAUCUGAUAGAAGCAUCUCAAGCUGCGAUGUGAUCGAAUUAGACAUUAUAGACAAAUCAAACCCGAGGGAAAAUUCGGAUUUGAAGCCCCAACUUCUGUUUAUACAAUGGAACAGGCUCCCGUUAACGAAAACGGUAGUUCGCCGAAUGGAGAUAUAAAUUUCUGGAACACUCCUGCAAAUUUCACACGAAAACGUCGGAACUAUAAACAAAAAUCCUAUUCAUUACUGACUGCGGAAGAGAGGUUGAGCGAAAUGAUUUGAAUAGAGAAGGAAAAGAUCGAAUUGGAAAGAAUCAGGCAGGAAAAAAUGGCCAUCAGAGCAGAGAAAAAAGCUACACUAGAAAAAGAGAAAAUGCUGAAACGAGAACAGAGACUAAAAAGGAAACAAGAAAGAGGAGAUGCUAUUAAAAAGAAACGGGAGGUAAAAAAUGACCUCAGGAAUAAGAAGCUAGGAGAAGUCGAGGCGCAAA